rnacentral:rRNA from 1 species
GAUGAACGCUGGCGGCGUGCCUAAUACAUGCAAGUCGAGCGAACGGAGGAGGCGCUUGCUUCUCUGAUGUUAGCGGCGGACGGGUGAGUAACACGUGGAUAACCUACCUAUAAGACUGGGAUAACUUCGGGAAACCGGAGCUAAUACCGGAUGAUAUUUUGAACCGCAUGGUUCAAAAGUGAAAGACGGUCUUGCUGUCACUUAUAGAUGGUACCGCGCUGCAUUAGCUAGUUGGUAAGGUAACGGCUUACCAAGGCAACGAUGCAUAGCCGACCUGAGAGGGUGAUCAGCCACACUGGAACUGAGACACGGUCCAGACUCCUACGGGAGGCAGCAGUAGGGAAUCUUCCGCAAUGGGCGAAAGCCUGACGGAGCAACGCCGCGUGAGUGAUGAAGGUCUUCGGAUCGUAAAACUCUGUUAGUAGGGAAGAACAUAUGUGUAAGUAACUGUGCACAUCUUGACGUUACCUAAUCAGAAAGCCACGGCUAACUACGUG